GGGCCUGUAGCUCAGUUGGCAGAGCAGGGGACUUUUAAUCCCAAGGUCGUGGGUUCGAUUCCCACCGGGCCCA
rnacentral:tRNA from 1 species